rnacentral:tRNA from 2 species
GGGGGGAUGGCUCAGUGGUAAAGCAUUUGACUGCAGAUCAUAGAGGUUCCCGGUUCGAAUUCGGGUCCCUUCU